GAUGAACGCUGGCGGCGUGCCUAAUACAUGCAAGUCGAGCGAACAGACGAGGAGCUUGCUCCUCUGACGUUAGCGGCGGACGGGUGAGUAACACGUGGAUAACCUACCUAUAAGACUGGGAUAACUUCGGGAAACCGGAGCUAAUACCGGAUAAUAUAUUGAACCGCAUGGUUCAAUAGUGAAAGGCGGUUUUGCUGUCACUUAUAGAUGGAUCCGCGCCGCAUUAGCUAGUUGGUAAGGUAACGGCUUACCAAGGCGACGAUGCGUAGCCGACCUGAGAGGGUGAUCGGCCACACUGGAACUGAGACACGGUCCAGACUCCUACGGGAGGCAGCAGUAGGGAAUCUGCCGCAAAGGGCGAAAGCCUGACGGAGCAACGCCGCGUGAGUGAUGAAGGUCUUCGGAUCGUAAAACUCUGUUAUUAGGGAAGAACAAAUGUGUAAGUAACUAUGCACGUCUUGACGGUACCUAAUCAGAAAGCCACGGCUAACUACGUG
rnacentral:rRNA from 1 species